AUUGAACGCUGGCGGCAGGCCUAACACAUGCAAGUCGAGCGGCAGCGGGAAAGUAGCUUGCUACUUUUGCCGGCGAGCGGCGGACGGGUGAGUAAUGCCUGGGAAAUUGCCCAGUCGAGGGGGAUAACAGUUGGAAACGACUGCUAAUACCGCAUACGCCCUACGGGGGAAAGCAGGGGCCCUUCGGGCCUUGCGCGACUGGAUAUGCCCAGGUGGGUUUAGCUAGUUGGUGAGGUAAUGGCUCACCAAGGCGACGAUCCCUAGCUGGUCUGAGAGGAUGAUCAGCCACACUGGAACUGAGACACGGUCCAGACUCCUACGGGAGGCAGCAGUGGGGAAUAUUGCACAAUGGGGGAAACCCUGAUGCAGCCAUGCCGCGUGUGUGAAGAAGGCCUUCGGGUUGUAAAGCACUUUCAGCGAGGAGGAAAGGUCAGUAGCUAAUAUCUGCUGGCUGUGACGUUACUCGCAGAAGAAGCACCAGCUAACUCCGUGCCAGCAGCCGCAGUAAGAC
rnacentral:rRNA from 1 species